GUCUGUUGCCAUGGCAACCACUGCACAGCCCCUGUGCAUGCCUUACCUGUGUCAACUGCACCAUCACCACCUGUGAUACCUAUAUCAUGGCUCAAAUAAAAGACAUGGAUCCCAACAUAGAGAUCUCCUCUUCUUUGCUUUUUCCCCAUUUUUGCUAAAGAACUCAAAAAAGAGAAAACUGUGCUGAAUUGGGGUAAUCUGUCCAGGACAGCUGAUUUCUAAGAAGAGAGGAUAGGUGUGCAUCAGGAAUGGAGAGGUAUUGAGGGGAGCAUUUGGAGGAAGGGGAGCAUAAUCCAACUAUUGUAUGAAAAAAUACUUCUCAUAAAAGAAAAAAUUAAAUUAAAUUAAAAAUAUAAGUAGCAA